rnacentral:rRNA from 1 species
GCCAUAGAAUCUUAUAGAUUUAGAUAUAUAUCGGUUAUGGAUGAGCUUGCGGGGUAUUAGGUAGUUGGUGUGGUAAUGGCGCACCAAGCCCAAGAUGCCUAGCCGGUUUGAGAGAACGAUCGGCCACACUGGGACUGAGACACGGCCCAGACGCUUACGAGCGGCAGCAGUGGGGAAUAUUGGACAAUGGGCGAAAGCCUGAUCCAGUGAUAUCGCUUUGGGGAUGACGGCGACAUACGUUGUAAACCCAAUGAAGUACGUUUAGAUUAUGACCGUACGUAUUUUAGAAGUCCCGG